GCCUUUGUAGCUCAAUGGUAGAGCAACUGUUUUGUAAACAGUAGGUUGGGGGUUCAAUUCCCUCCAAAGGCU
rnacentral:tRNA from 1 species